CCUACGGGCGGCAGCAGUGAGGAAUAUUGGUCAAUGGCCGAGAGGCUGAACCAGCCAAGUCGCGUGAGGGAAGAUUGUCCUAAGGAUUGUAAACCUCUUUUGUCAGGGAGCAAAGUCACCCACGUGUGGGUGUUGGAGAGUACCUGAAGAAAAAGCAUCGGCUAACUCCGUGCCAGCAGCCGCGGUAAUACGGAGGAUGCGAGCGUUAUCCGGAUUUAUUGGGUUUAAAGGGUGCGUAGGCGGGUUAUUAAGUCAGCGGUAAAAUCGUGGGGCUCAACUCCAGCCAGCCGUUGAAACUGAUUGUCUUGAGUUGUCGAGAAGUAUGCGGAAUGCGUGGUGUAGCGGUGAAAUGCAUAGAUAUUGCGCAGAACUCCGAUUGCGAAGGCAGCAUACCGGCGCCCGACUGACGCUGAAGCACGAAAGCGUGGGUAUCGAACAGGAUUAGAUACCCUUGUAGUC
rnacentral:rRNA from 1 species